rnacentral:rRNA from 1 species
CAGUAGCCGCGGGAAAACGUAGGUGGCAAGCGUUGUCCGGAAUUAUUGGGCGUAAAGCGCGCGCAGGUGGUUUAAUAAGUCUGAUGUGAAAGCCCACGGCUCAACCGUGGAGGGUCAUUGGAAACUGUUAAACUUGAGUGCAGGAGAGAAAUGUGGAAUUCCUAGUGUAGCGGUGAAAUGCGUAGAGAUUAGGAGGAACACCAGUGGCGAAGGCGGCCUUUUGGCCUGUAACUGACACUGAGGCGCGAAAGCGUGGGGAGCAAACAGGAUUAGAUACCCCAGUAGUCCCUGUCUCUUAUAC